UACAGAGGGUGCAAGCGUUAAUCGGAAUUACUGGGCGUAAAGCGCGCGUAGGUGGUUUGUUAAGUUGGAUGUGAAAUCCCCGGGCUCAACCUGGGAACUGCAUUCAAAACUGACAAGCCAGAGUAUGGUAGAGGGUGGUGGAAUUUCCUGUGUAGCGGUGAAAUGCGUAGAUAUAGGAAGGAACACCAGUGGCGAAGGCGACCACCUGGACUGAUACUGACACUGAGGUGCGAAAGCGUGGGGAGCAAACAGG
rnacentral:rRNA from 1 species